rnacentral:rRNA from 1 species
AGAGUUUGAUCCUGGCUCAGGAUGAACGCUGGCGGCGUGCCUAACACAUGCAAGUCGAACGGGCACGGCGUGCGGCAGGGGCCUCGGCCCCUGCGGCGCCGCGCGAGUGGCGGACGGGUGAGUAACGCGUGGGCAACCUGCCCUGUACUGGGGGAUAACACCUGGAAACAGGUGCUAAUACCGCAUAAGCGCGCUGUGCCGCAUGGCGCGGCGCGGAAAACCCCGGUGGCACAGGAUGGGCCCGCGUCUGAUUAGCUGGUUGGCAGGGUAACGGCCUACCAAGGCGACGAUCAGUAGCCGGCCUGAGAGGGUGGACGGCCACACUGGGACUGAGACACGGCCCAGACUCCUACGGGAGGCAGCAGUGGGGGAUAUUGCACAAUGGGGGGAACCCUGAUGCAGCGACGCCGCGUGAGUGAAGAAGUAUUUCGGUAUGUAAAGCUCUAUCAGCAGGGAAGAAAAACCGACCAUAGGGUCGCUAGACGGUACCUGAUUAAGAAGCCCCGGCUAACUACGUGCCAGCAGCCGCGGUAAUACGUAGGGGGCAAGCGUUAUCCGGAUUUACUGGGUGUAAAGGGAGCGUAGACGGCAGCGCAAGUCUGAAGUGAAAUGCCGGGGCUUAACCCCGGAACUGC